rnacentral:rRNA from 1 species
CCUACGGGAGGCAGCAGUAGGGAAUAUUGCUCAAUGGGCGAAACACUGAAGCAGCCACGCCGCGUGGAGGAUGAAGGUUUUCGGAUUGUUAACUCCUUUUGUUAGAGAAGAUAAUGACGGUAUCUAACGAAUAAGCACCGGCUAACUCCGUGCCAGCAGCCGCGGUUACACGGAGGGUGCAAGCGUUAAUCGGAAUCACUGGGCGUAAAGGGGGCGUAGGCGGGUUAGCAAGUCCGAUGUGAAAUCCUGGGGCUUAACCAUAGAACUGCAGUUGAAACUGUUAUUCUAGAGUAUGGGAGAGGUAGGUGGAAUUCGUGGUGUAGGGGUAAAAUCCGUAGAGAUCAAGAGGAAUACUCAUUGCGAAGGCGACCUGCUAGAACAUAACUGACGCUGAUGCGCGAAAGCGUGGGGAGCAAACAGGAUUAGAUACCCGAGUAGUC